UGUUUGUGUAUUCAGCAGUCUGUGUGUGUAUUCAGCAGUCGGUGUGUGUGUGUGUAUUCAGCACACACACCAACUGCUGAAUACACACACACCGCCUGCUCAAUAC